rnacentral:rRNA from 1 species
AUUAUUUUAAAUGUAAAAUUUUAUACUAAAGUAGUAUUAGUUAUGUUCUUUAAAUUUAAAGAUUUUGGCGGUAUUUUAGUCUAUUCAGAGGAACCUGUUCUGUAAUUGAUAGUCCACGAUUAAUUUUACUUAAUUUAAUUAAUUUGUAUAUCAUCGUUAUUAGAUAAUUUUAUAAGAAUAUAAAUUUUUAAAAUUUCGAAUAAGUAAAUAAAUCAGAUCAAGAUGCAGUUUAUAAUUAAGAAGAAAUGGGUUACAAUAAAUUUAUUUAUAUGGAUUUUUAGAUGAAAUUUUAUUAUGAAGGUGGAUUUGAAAGUAAUAUUUUAUUAAUUAAAUUUUAUGAUUUUGGCUCUAAAAUAUGU